AUUGAACGCUGGCGGCAGGCCUAGCACAUGCAAGUCGAACGGUAGCACAGAGAGCUUGCUCUCGGGUGACGAGUGGCGGACGGGUGAGUAAUGUCUGGGAAACUGCCUGAUGGAGGGGGAUAACUACUGGAAACGGUAGCUAAUACCGCAUAACGUCGCAAGACCAAAGAGGGGGACCUUCGGGCCUCUUGCCAUCAGAUGUGCCCAGAUGGGAUUAGCUAGUAGGUGGGGUAACGGCUCACCUAGGCGACGAUCCCUAGCUGGUCUGAGAGGAUGACCAGCCACACUGGAACUGAGACACGGUCCAGACUCCUACGGGAGGCAGCAGUGGGGAAUAUUGCACAAUGGGCGCAAGCCUGAUGCAGCCAUGCCGCGUGUAUGAAGAAGGCCUUCGGGUUGUAAAGUACUUUCAGCGGGGAGGAAGGUGUUGUGGUUAAUAACCACAGCAAUUGACGUAC
rnacentral:rRNA from 1 species